AGCAGGGCCUUUGGAGACUCAAGAGGCUCCUCCCCAGAACAGCCCGACUCAGAAAGACCGUCUGAGAUCUUUUCCCAAGUCGGCCAGGCUUGUUGCAGCUUUUCUGGGCUGCAGGGGGUCCUGCCUGGAGCUGGCAGUCCUAUGCAGCUGGUCCACUAGGUCUCAGCACCCCCUGGGGUCUUGGGCGGGUAGCAGGGCCCUUGGAGACUCAAGAGGCUCCUCCCCAGGACAGCCCGACUCAGAAAGACCGUCUGGGAUCUUUUCCCAAGUCGGCCAGGCUUGUUGCAGCUUUUCUGGGCUGCAGGGGGUCCUGCCUGGAGCUGGCAGUCCUAUGCAGCUGGUCCACUAGGUCUCAGCACCCCUGGGGUCUUGGGCGGGUAGCAGGGCCCUUGGAGGCUCAAGAGGCUCCUCCCCAGGACAGCCCGACUCAGAAAGACCGUCUGAGAUCUUUUCCCGAUUCGGCCAGGCUUGUUGCAGCUUUUCUGGGCUGCAGGGGGUCCUGCCUGGAGCUGGCAGUCCUAUGCAGCUGGUCCACUAGGUCUCAGCACCCCCUGGGGUCUUGGGCGGGUAGCAGGGCCCUUGGAGGCUCAAGAGGCUCCUCCCCAGGACAGCCCGACUCCGAAAGACCGUCUGAGAUCUUUUCCCGAUUCGGCCAGGCUUGUUGCAGCUUUUCUGGGCUGCAGGGGGUCCUGCCUGGAGCUGGCAGUCCUAUGCAGCUGGUCACUAGGUCUCAGCACCCCCUGGGGUCUUGGGCGGGUAGCAGGGCCCUUGGAGGCUCAAGAGGCUCCUCCCCAGGACAGCCCGACUCAGAAAGACCGUCUGAGAUCUUUUCCCGAUUCGGCCAGGCUUGUUGCAGCUUUUCUGGGCUGCAGGGGUCCUGCCUGGAGCUGGCAGUCCUAUGCAGCUGGUCCACUAGGUCUCAGCACCCCUUGGGGUCUUGGGCGGGUAGCAGGGCCCUUGGAGACUCAAGAGGCUCCUCCCCAGGACAGCCCGACUCCGAAAGACCGUCUGAGAUCUUUUCCCGAUUCGGCCAGGCUUGUUGCAGCUUUUCUGGGCUGCAGGGGGUCCUGCCUGGAGCUGGCAGUCCUAUGCAGCUGGUCCACUAGGUCUUAGCACCCCCUAGGGUCUUGGGCGUGUAGCAAGGCCCUUGGAGACUCAAGAGGCUCCUCCCGGGGGAGCCCGUCUCAGAAAAACCGUCAGAGAAUUAGGUCGAUCUAUUCACGGCCUGGCUAGGCUUGUUCUAGCUUUUCUGGGCUGCAGGCCUUUUUUAGGGGGCUGGUGGUGUUUGGUGCUGCUCUGUGGAAGUGUAGCCCCUCCAAAGGGCAAGCAGGCCUGUGCAGGGAGAGCCCCUGCGGUGGUAGGCUUCAGG
rnacentral:lncRNA from 1 species